AAUGAUAAAGAAAGGUACCUUAGCACAACAAUUACCAGAAAGGUCAAGCCAUCAUUGUAAUAAUCGGGUACAAGAGAAUAAACUUGGCACGAAAUGUUGAUGAAUAUUUAAUGUCUAAUCCAUGGAGGGCGAGCUGUUAAAUACAUUGUACAUAAUCAAGCUACGCCCACGGGUGCCUAAUUGAGAUUAAUGUACUAUCGAUACGAGUGCGUGCGCGCAAGGCCAGGCGGCCACAACCACACAAACUGCAGCGCUAAUGCAACGCACUUGACUUGCAGUUGCUAGUGGUAAUCAUCAUUUGCAUAAAUCUUCCCUAGACAGUUGCCUACUACUCUUACUAAUCCGAAAAAGUCCGACCCUGGAGCCCCUGUAGGCCGGGGGGCCCGUAUCAUUGAUACGGCUAAUACGGCAGUAACUACGCCCCUGGGUACAAGAGAAGAAACCUAACAAGAGAUCACCACAACCAUCAGUAUUGAGGACUCUGAAAAGGUUGAAGAAAACAUUUUUUUGGAAAUUUGGAAUAGCACAGUAACACACAUUUUGAUGUAAUAAGUAGUUGACCUUGAAAAUAAUAAAUAAUGGCAUAGCAA